rnacentral:rRNA from 1 species
UACGAAGGUCCCAAGCGUUGUUCGGAUUUACUGGGCGUAAAGCGUCUGUAGGCGGCGCGGUAAGUCAGAUGUGAAAUCCCGGGGCUCAACCCCGGAACUGCAUCCGAUACUGCCGUGCUAGAGUAUUGGAGGGGAGUCUGGAAUUCUCGGUGUAGCAGUGAAAUGCGUAGAUAUCGAGAGGAACACUAGUGGCGAAGGCG